ACAGCUGAGGUGUUGAAAGCCCUUGUAGUCCAAAAACUUAAGAUUUGGAAGAUUGAAUAUGUAAAUUUUGGUAAGAGUUGAGGGCAGCAGAUAUUCAUCUGGAAAAGACUCUAUCUCUUCUGCAUCAUCCAUUUGGAAGGUUGUAACUGAAGGGAGUCUUUCCAAACCCCAAUCCUUCCUGCCCGCAAUUAGCUUUUCACUUCUUCCGAUUGUAAUAUCUUUUAAUUUGGAGGGUAAACCUUUGGAAAUGACUCAAUUUCUGGACAAUUGAAUAUUGUCAAAUCCUCAAGGGAUGGUAAGAGGGAUUGCAUUUGCUCAGGCAAUGACUUCAAAAUUUUGCAAUUAAAAAGCCUAAGUGUUGUCAGAUUGGUGGCAGAUAAUCCCUCAUCGGGAAAAGAUAUAAAAUUAGGGCAGGUCUCGAUUUUCAAAAAAUUGAGACAUGCGAGAUGUUGGUGAGGGCCCUCUGAUGCACCAAUCGACUUCAAGCCUUUGCAUGACCUGAUACGGAGACGAUUUAGCUUAUGGAAUGAUCCUAUUGAGAAAGAUUCUAGUGGAUGAUUGCUGUUGCCUGAUAUUUCUAAGCAUUCAAGGGAUGUAUACGAAAGGAUUUUGGAAUAAUCCAACGCAUCACAGUUAUGGAUGCCCAAUUCCUUUAGCAUAGUUGGUAGACUACCUUCAGGAAGAGAUUUGAGUCCAUAACAAAACCCCAUUUCCAACUUUUCAAGAUGAGUGCAGUGGCGCAUCAUCUGCUCCAAUAUGGAAUCAUUGAUAUUCGAAUCAUAGAUCUUCAAAUUGCGAAGCCCACAAGGCAAUGGCUCCAAUUGCAAUGCAUCACACUGGUUUAAGUAAAGUUCAGACAUGCUUGGUGCCCUUGGAAGCAAGCCUCCAAGCUUCUCACAUCUCACAAUCGUAAGUUUCAAUAAAGAAGGGAGGUGUUUGGGCAAAGACUUGGUUAACUUGGGACAAUCUUCUAUGUAUAACUUUUGAAGAAGACAGAAAGCUCCAUCUUUCAAACGAAACCAUUCUUCCCACUCUGACAUAUCUGCGAAUCUUAGAAUUUCAAGAGAUCCAAAUGGUUUACUCGAAGCAUCACCCUUCCCAUAGAACUCAUCACCCACUGUUACUACUUCAGAAAACCCACUAAUGGAGAGAGAUUUCAAAGAUGAUAAUCGCCCAAGCGGUGGCAAGAACAAGCAAAAUAUACAAUCUCUCAAUUGCAAAGAUACUAAAUUUGAGAAGGAUGAUGGCCCACCAAUUCUGGAUCUAAAUAACGCAAUUGAAGUACAAUUGCAAACAUUAUAAAUUGCAAACAUUUCAAUUGAAGUACAAGAGAGAUCUAAAUAACGCAAAUGCUUUAAUUUUUCAAUUUCUUCAUUGAUAUUUUCAUAGUUAGCCAAAGAAAGCAAUCGUAAGGAUCUUGAUUUUAGUAAGAAGUCAUCCAUUAUCACAUUGGUAACCCAACAACGCAGUCGCAGUGACUUUAUAGUUAAAAAUGUACGUAAACUUUUAAUUUCACAUAAAGCCUCAAAUUUUUUAAAUACAUCAUAUUUUUUCGGAAUAUUGGAUAAAUGACGGAUCUUUUUUCUUAUUUCACUUGAACACUUACCUUCCAAUCUAUAAGAGAAUUUUCCCGAUACAGAUUUAAAUUAAGUCAUGCAUGACAAAGCAAGAUUUAUUCCCACUUAAUUGUUGAAAAAAUGACCUGGAUGUUAAAUCUUCGAAGUGCUCACUACCUCGCAAUUCCUCCAUAUUUACAUCUUCUCCGUAGUAUGCUAAAAGAUCUUCAGCCAUCCACAACCGAACGAGUUCUUCCUUUUGAAAUUCAUAAUCUUUUGAAUAACAUGCAAAGCAACGCUUUAAAUGGGAAGGAAGAUAAUAAUAACUUAAUCUGAGUGCUGGAAGAAUAUCAUCCGUUAUGUCCCACAAAUUGCUGUUUAAUACUUUAUUCCAAUCCUCAACAUCUAAUCUACAACGCAGAAGACCGGCAAGUGCUUUCACUGCUAGAGGCAGGCCUUUGCAUCUUUUGACAAUUCCUUCACCGAUUGCCUUCAAAUUUGGACGCAAGCUUGGGCUUGUAUUAACAAAUGCAUGUUUUGCAAAUAACAACCAACAAUCCUCAUCAGACAACUCACUGAGAUGAUGAGUUGGAACAGUCCCCAUAGUGCGUGCAACCUCUUGAUUACGUGUUGUUCAAUAAUCUUGCUAUUUUUUGCCCCAAAAUUGGAAGGACUUCUCAACUCUUCCCAAUCAACAUAUUUCUCGUUUCAAACAUCGUCCAAAACAAAUAGAAACCUCUUUCCCAAUAGCUUCUCCUUCAAUUGAAGUUGAAGCUGAUUUAGGUUCUGACUAUCAUCACUGCUAGCAGUGAUUUCUUCAAGCAUGGUUUUGGUUACCCUUAAAGCAUCAAAUUCAUCUGAAACACACACCCAUGCUUUGACGUCAAACCAUUUCUCCACGCUCUCGUCAUUGUAGAUCCAUUGUGCAAGGGUGGUUUUACCAACCCUUCCCAUACCCACUAUUGAAAUCACAUCGAUCUGAUUUGCACUUGCAUAUUCUGGGUUCAGAAACUCCAUGAUCGCUUCUUUUUCAUCAUGUCUACCAUAAACACCCGAUUCAUCCACCAGAGAAGUUGCAAGUGGUCUUGGAAAUGACUUUUCUCCUCUACUUUCUUUCAAACCCAGGAUGUCUUUUUGGUUGACUAAACAUUCUAGUCUCUCAAGGAUUUCUUCUAGUUUUGAUCCCAUCCCCCAAUUGAAAGGAUUGAGAGAAGAGAUAAAGCUACAUACCUGCUUUGCAGUACUAGUUUGAUCCUCGGAUUCCAUCCUGCUUCGAAGAGCUUCAGUAGCGAUCUCAUCAAGGAGGUCCUCCGCAUCAUAAACAGCAUCCUUGAGCUCAUCAAUCCAGCUUCUCACCUUUGGGUUCGUGAUCUGCUCAUUUUCAGCAUCAUCGAGCACUGCUUUAACUGACAUCAAUGCUCGUUUCAGUUUCUUCAGCAGCCCGUCUUCAAGUUUCUUUCCCUUAAAAAGAUUCAAAACAUCCCGAGAAGCAAUCCUCUCAACCAGCACCUGGAUGGAAGCAGUGAGAAAAGCUUGACCCACCAAAGUCAUUUUUUUUUUUCGGUGAUUAAAGAAAGGUUUGAAGAAGAUCAAAGGAAUUGAUUCGCAAACAAUGAAAUGAAGAGUGGCUUUACUGAAGUGAAGGCAAUGAAGACUUGGCACGCGUAGAUUCGGUGAAGUCAAUGAAGACUUGGCAUGUGCAGAUUACGUGAAGUCAACGAAGACGAAGCUCCACUGAAAAUUGUUUAUUUGAAUUUUCUUUAAUUUAUUUUUUAAAAUAAAAAAAUAAAGUAAAAUAAUCAUAUAUGAGGAAGAGAUUUUUAAAUUAUUUUGUGUGUUUUUUAAGAAGCAAAGAGAUAUUUAAAAAUAUAAAUAUAUGUUUCAUGCAGAUGCCUCUAUUUGUACAAAUAUUACUUAAUUAUUUUUAAGUGUCUUUACAAUAUAUUAAUUAUAUAUUAUAAAUAUAAUUAAAUUUUAAGACCAAUCAAGACUUGAAAAGCUUAGUGAUAGUUCAAUUUGUACUUUAAUUCAAUUAUUAAGAUCUUAUUCUCCUUUAUAUUUAAAGAAGUUUCUCCUCUUUCAAUGUAAAAUUGUGGAGUACAUGUAACUCAACUGAUAGGUAAAAAACCAAUGACAAAAGCAAGAGAGAAGCCAUCUCAUGAAAUCUAUUUGAUCUUUUGCGUUAAUCACAUAAGAAAAACAACAACGCAUCAAAACUUGAGAGUAGAGAUACAAAAUUCCACAACUGACUCAACAUUUAGGAAAUGGGGAAGCAGUACAGCAAUAGAUUUUGUCUACACAAUCAAGGCAACUCUAGUCAAAGAAAAACUUUCAGCUUCUCAAAUUCUCAACAAUCUUGGAGAGUGCUGAGUAUGUUCCAAAGGCUGAUGAAACUACUCCCACUGCUAUAACUAUUAUACAAAGUGUAGCCUGUAAAACAAGAAAAGGAAAGAUUAUAAGAAAAGCCAGUAAGAUAAACUAAGCAUUCUAUAAGAUAAAAUUUUAUAUGGAUUCAUGCAGGCUCUAAAACAACUCUUUAUGAAUUCAGUUAUCUUGUUUCCUUCUUUUUCUUUUGUACUGUUCAGUGGAAGACGCAAGUAGGAGUUGUUAAUUUUUUGAAUUGUCACAGUAUGUGUGUUUGUGUGCACGCGCAUGCUUAUAUAUAUACACGUUACAUGUAUUAUGAUCAUACCUGAAUACGGGUUACUUUACCCCUCAGGAUGCUUAAAUAACAAGCAGGAGGAAGUAUCAAGGUCUGCCAUAGAAGUAAUUAUUCAAAGCACAUUAGUCUUUGUUCUAUAUGUUUAUUUCAAAACAACUAGUUUUGUAAAGUGAUAGAGAAGAAUUUCCACGAUUCAAAUGGCAGAAGGUAACUUACCACAAACAUUGUGAAUAAAGAUCCUAUCAAUGACAUCACCAAACCUACAACAAAGGGAGAAAAUUUUCCCAUGAUGACCUAGAAAUUCAAUGGAAUACCUAACACUAUCUGGAUGAUCCAACCUUACAACCAAAAUGUUCUCUCAGUUCAAAAUAGCAGAUAUGCAACAGAAGAGGUUUCUCUUUGAAGAUGAAUGGUAAAUGCAUAAACAAACAAUAACAGACGCUUACCAAAGAAGGGGAUGCUGAGACCAACAAUCAAGGUUGAGAUCACUAGUGAUGUUCUGAUUAAGAUAGCAUAGAUGUGAGACUUGAGAUGGCUUGAUGGUAUCAACUCCUCAAGACUCAUUGCAACCGGAGACAUGGUUAAUGCAUAUGUUUGGUCUAAUUAAGGCAGAACAUUUAUUUUGCUUAGAUAUGAGAGCAUAAAUGAUAACUAAAAGGCAAUAGCUAGACUUUGUUUAACUCAAGAGGGAAUUAGGACUUUCUGAUGAUACAGUUCUCUUACUGGAGAGGGCAAUGAAAGAGGGAAAAUGCCAAGAAAAAGAACGAGAGUAAGGAAUUUACGCUUACUCAUGAUCCCUCAUUUUCCAUAACAACUGUAAAGUUCUUGUUCCCAAUUUUCUCUUUCUUUCUCAUGCUUUCCCAUUAGAGAAGGAGACCAUGAAGUUUAUGCCUCCAAGUAGAACUAUAUUUCAUUACCUAAUAAACUGAUUUCAGAGUAAUAAUGCGAAGAGCUAUAAUGAAAAGAAUAUUUCGUAAAUGGGUUUAUUACCUGCAAAAGAACAGAAAAUAAAUGAAUUGUAGUUAACAGAAACAAAAUGAUCAUAAAAUGCUAUUUGAAAGUCUAAGCCUGGACUAGGCAAGGGUAAAGUGAGAACCUUAAGAUCUAAUUAGUUGAAAAGGCUAGCCAGACAACUAUAAUAUCAUGAGAGUUAGCUUUUUCUCAACUUUGCAUAUAAGCAAAGUGUUUUGACAUCUGUAUUGUAUUGCUGUUUCUCCAAAAUUGGUGCAUCAACGACAUUUUCAAAUAAGUGCAGUUCUACCAAUCAUUAUAAGCACAGAACAAAUUGUCAAGAAAAUCUGAUAAGAUGAGCAUACCGUUGUCCACACAGCAAUCUUUGAAGCAAUCAGAUCUUUAGGCAUGUUAAGGAUAAACUGUGAUUCUGUUGCUUCUCCAAACAUUGUGUACCCCAUAAUUGCAGUUCCAGCAUACAACAAAGAACAGAUUCCAAAACUGCAAGGAAAUUGAAACCAAAGAUGAUAAGAGGAGCAGCAUUUAUAACCACAAAGAACCAUUAUGAAGGAAUGAUGAGGUGCAUGGUCAGUAAUCAACAAUUUGUGAACCUUUUGCUUAUGUUAAUCAUAACAUACACAAUGCAGCAACUUGCAUUAUCAAAAAGAAUAAUAAACCAAUUGGUUGAGCAUAACUUUGAACCAGCUAAAUCAAUGCAGAGAGGUAAAAAGAUCCCAGCAAGAGUAACAACACAAAUCUCAUUUAGCAAGAGAAAAUAUGUGACAUUUCAGAGUCUCCAAGAUAACAAAUUGAACUGAGCAGCUAUACUUUACCAAGCUAAGAGGACUGAAGGGAAUUGAUUUGGUUUUGCCAUUGAGGUAUAGAUAUUGGGGAAAACAGCAUGUCCUGAAUAACAGUAACCAUAGAGCCCAACAGCAACAGGAAGACUAGCCAGGUUCAAUGUAGUUCCUUUGUUAUGAAAGCCAACUUGAUCUACCAAGCCAACACAAAACAAGCAGGGUACUACCAAGAUUGAUGCAACGACUCCACCAGCUGGAAACAGAGAAAGAACACACUAAGACCAACAUCAAACUAUGUGACAUAGUAUAGAGAGAGAUAGCCUUGGGGCUGAAGAGAGUGCAACUAAAAUCAACUGUACUGUGGAUUUUCAGUUAGGAUACAUUACAGAUCAAUAUGUUUCUUACCAGAGAUAUAACUCAGAACGCUGAGGUCUCAGCGCCAAACAGUGGGAAGAACAGCAAGGGUUGUCAUCAAUGCAAACAGACGUUGGGAAUUCAACUCAAAUCCACCCAAACUGAUAUGUGCAUUUGGGAACAAGGACGACAAGUUAUCACCCCCUAAAAUUACAUAUUCAACGCAACAAGCCUGUGUUGAAGAUUGUAAGAGUAACCUCACUGGUAAAAAAUAGAACAUGUUCCAAAAUAUCUAUGGGAAUCACUACAUUCUCCAUGAUGUUAUGUAAUCCAGUAAACAAGCUAAAUAUCAUCAGAAUUAGAUAAUAAAGGCAUGUGAUUCCAAGAUGAAACCUCAUGUAAGAGUAAAAACAUAAGUUCAUUAGGUUAUGUAGAACUAUUUUUGUUCAAAGUAUUUAUCCCGCCAGGUUUUCAUUUAAGUAUGUAAAAGUCUUAUUUAUAAGAAAAAAUAAAUAACAAUAAUAAAAAAGGAGAUGCAAACUAAAACUGGUAUUCAAUGAGGAGAUAUUUCUGAAUACUGAUUCAAUGCCCAAGAAUUCACUCUAGUUGAGGUUCUCUACAGGAAGUCAAAACCCAGAAAAAUAGCUAUAUGCCUCAAGGAAUGGUACUUGCAAUUGAACCCAGAAGCUCUUGCCAUUGGCUGAGCAAUUUUGAUCAUAUUAUUCUGAAAUUAUUCCUGUCAGCAGCUUCUAAAUUUGCAUGGUAAAAAAGAUUUGGAUGUCUUAGCUGAUAUAUGAAAAUGGAUGCCCUAAAGCAUAUCUUAAAAUUGUUGUAGCCACUAGAUUUCCUUCAUUGAUGAACAAGGUAGAGACAUAAGUUAAAACAGAAUGGAAGACAGAACCAAAAAUGCAGGACCCAGGAAUUUGCAAGAGGACCCCUGAUGGAAUCUUAGCUUACACAUUCUCAAGCAUAGCUAGACAACUAUUGGAUUUAUCAUACAAUACUAAGAAAAGCCAAUUGUACUUACAUAUAACUCAACGUAUAAUAUUAGCUGCAACCACAGGAAAAACAAGAGCUAAAACCAUGACAAUCAGUGAUCAUUCAGUCUUUGUAAACCAGUGCUUAUUUUAAUCUGUCAAUUUCCUAGUUUCUAUCUUGUAAAAUAAAAUAAAAAGAAAAAAGACCCAAAAUAUAUAAAAAUUUAUUGACAUAGAAAAUGACUGCUUGUAAGGAUUUUUGAGUAAAUUUGAUAUUGAAAAAAAACGAAAAUAAUUAAAGUUUGGUUUUUGUUGCCUUUGGUUCCAAAAACAAAAAUAUUAUAAGAAGACACAAUGAGAUACAAAAGAAAAUAAUACACAUAAUAGUUAAAAAUAUUUUUAAAAUUAUUUUAAAAAAUUAAACAGUAUAUGAGUUCAAUUAAGCGUACUAAAAGAAUAAAAAUAUAUUUGAAUCUUUAUGAAUAAUUUAGAAAUUUUUUAACAUAUUCUGUUUAAAUAAUAUUUAUAAAAUAUUAAAAAUUUCAAAUAUUUUUUUAAAACAAAAUGCAUGAGUUUACCUUUAUAUAAAACAAUUCUAUUAAGAUUUACAUUAAAUUUUAAUUAAUUAUGAUAUUACUUAUUUCUCUUUUGUGUUUUUAUUUUAUAACAAAUUUUCAAACAGUAAAAAUUAGAUAAUAAAAUACAAUUAAUAAAUUUAUUAACUACACAGAAACGUAGAAUUACCGAGAGGGCAAUUCUGCCGGCGGUGCCAAAUACGGCUUGACCAAUAUCUGCUAUACCAAAGAAUAGAGGCCCCUUUUUUAUCUAACAAAGGGCCAAAAGUAAAACAAAAUCUGAUUUUCUAUCUCAAGUUUUGAUUCAAAGGGUUCACUAACUAAAUUAGUUGAUACUUUCGGUCAUUACCAUUUCAGUUUAAAUAUGAGCUUGUUUGUUUGUCAAGCUGGUCAGACCAACAACUUCAAUAUUGCUCAAUUGCUAGCUUUAAUUUAAUCACUCUGACAAUAAGAAAGAAAAAAAAAAAAAACCAAAGAAUACAUCAGGAUGAAAUGAAUGAUAAUUCAUCAGAUUAUUCUUAAAAGCUUGAAGUAUGUCAAGUACCUUGGGAGACGAUUUAGUCAAAAGUUUACAAGAAAUUCACAAUUAAAACAGGAAAGGGAAAUGAAAUUUUAGGAAGUAAACUACUACAUGAAAGAAGGAGCAAGAAUCUUUAAGUUAAAAUCCACAUCCGACUUCAAUCACGCAAGCAGUUGGUUUUCAAUUCUGAUUAAACGAGUUUAUGUGUAGAGCACUCCUUAUGUGUGAAAACGCCUGCCUGGCAUGGAAUUGGAAUUGUGGUUGUUAUUGGCCUCUAAUGGUUCCAAAGAGACAGGAAUUGGUCUCCCCAUCAUACACCAAAAUCAAGUCUAUGAACAAUGUACUAUCAUCCUCUAUGUUGCUUUGACAAUCCCAAAUUUAAGUGAAGCAUGUGGAAAAUGCUGCAAAGACAUUCCACCUCUUCCUGAAGCCGGUAGUAGACCACUUGAAAUUUUCAUGGCGCAUAAUCUUGAAAAAAGCAAGCUUCAAUGUUAGCCCCAAAACAGAAUAAAUCUAGAUGCAGAAGGAACAUAACUAACUGGCAAUAAUAAACUCAAAUUUGCAACAAGUUCUUGUAACUAAAAGGAAGCAAGUGAUGAGGCAUACCUCAAAUACCAAAUGAGAGCCUCAAAUGCAAUGCACAACAAUUGAAGGUCACUAUUUGCAGGUCUGCAUACUUUCUAUCCCAGAAAGCAGAAGUCAACUCCGUAUUAUGGAAACAAACUUUCAGCACUAACCAGAGAAGCAUCAAUUGUGUCAGACAUCAGUGGAGCAAUCACAAAAUAUUUGUUCAAGUUACAAAAUUUGUUUGAAUUGCAACCGUGUGCUAAUGACUAAACCUAGUCUGUAUAGCAUGUUCAAUUUCAAAAUAGUAUGAAAUUUCUUGAAAAGGACCUUCAAAAGUUUGAUAAUAAUAAUUCGCUACUGGCACGAGUUACCUGCAUUUGAUUUGUUGCAGGUCCUUUAGUGGAAGAGCCAGAGAAGAAUAUACCGGAUAAGAUAUCUGUUAAGAUUGUGGUGAAAUACAUUUAAUUGGCUAUUAAGAAUUUAAAGAGAACCAAUAAAUAGCAAGUACUGAGACACGAAGAGUUGUGAGCCUUUAUGAUAUAGCAAAACACUAAACCCCCAUAAAGCAUAAAGUUAACCUGCCUUUGUGAAGUUUUGAGAGUUACUGAGAUCUUCAAAGUCCAAACUCUGAUAGUACAUCUCAAUAACUUUGAAAACUCUGAAAGGAUAAUAGAAACAAUAUUUAAAAGAACUAAGCAAUUUAGAGUCAUCAUUGAGAGGGAAAAUAAUGAAAAUAACAAAAUGAUAUAACCUCAAUAAAAACUUAUAAACAAAGGGAACAAUGACCUUUCUAUGACUAUUUCAUUUCAUCACAUGGCUGUCAAUUUUCCAACAGAACAUGUAAAAGUUAGGUGAAAUUCUGUCCACUCUUCCUCUAGAAUCCACAAGAAGAACAAUUCCUUAAGCUGCUGGCAGUGAAGCAAUUUCAACAUCCCUUUUACUGGUAUGAAAAGAUAACCAAAAUGCAACAACAUUAAGAGAAGUCAACAACUUAAAUCUUUCACUAAUCUUAGAGUUGAGAACACUUUAAAUUUUUGUUUUCCAGAAAAAAAAGAAGUGUCAUGGUACUGAACUGAUGAAACAGAAUAUACAUGCUGGCUGCUGGCAUCUUCUCCAUUUGGACAACAACUAAUGCCUGUUAUGCAAGUACUUGAUGCCAUCAUUGCCUUUCACAUUUCAGGGAAGGAUGCCGAUUGCAGCUUAAAUGUCCAAACAAACAUACUAUAAAAUCAAUGCAAGUAUACCAUGAGUUCAGAAGUAAAACUAACUAAAUGUCCAAAGUAGCGUGAAGCAGAGGACAUAAUCCACAUGUUAACACAGGGCUGUCUGCAAGUAAAGUUGCUGUGUUACUGACAUAUAAUAAUUGAUUAUUGACAGAUAAAUUUCUUGAUUCAUUAUGAAAGCUGGAAUUGCGAAGGGAGAAAAAAAAGCCUACCUAGUUUUCGUCAUAUCUGAAAAUACAGCUCUUCUUUCUUCAACUUUUUAGUUUAGAAGAAUACAAGAAAUGCAUUAAACAGAACAGGCUAGCUAGUCUGAAGAAAUUUGAGGUUGAUGCCAUGCUUGUUGAUCACAGUUGCUAACACAAGAUUGUUCCAAGAAAACCUCAAAUUUGUCAAGAACAUAGGGAUAAAAAACCUGGUAAAAAUUCAUUAGAUGAGUGUCAGCAAUGAUCAGUAUAUGCAGAAGUAAACCAAAUACACAUUAUGUGAAAGAAAGUUCUGGAAGGUGCAAAUAAACCAAAGGCACAUUAGGUUGGGAAAAAAUUUAAAAUGAUGUAGAAAUGAAACCAAAAAAGAUGAGGGCAUAGUUAAUACAAACAAUAAAGAGUGCAAAAGAAUACCAGAGUGAAUUAGGCACCUCUUCAUAGGAAUGACACUGUACUAGUUCCUUGAGCUGGGAGUAUAGCAAUUUAAUUUUCAAAUUGUGCAGACCACAAAGUAGUCCCUGAAAAGGCGAUGAAUCAAAUUCAACCAACAACAAUACAUGGAUUGCUGCAAUUUGAAGUUAACCCACACACAUUCUCAAGUUUCAUUCAAAGGGAAAAAUGUUGAUUUAGCUUAGGACAAUUAUAAGUAAAGUUCUUCAAGAUGAGCCCUGACAUUCUUCAUACCCAAUCCUGCCAUUUUAAGAUUUGUUAAAACCUUGAUGCUUCAUUUGGAAACAAGAAUUUGAGAGGGUGUAUUCGAAUUGAUUUGUUCUUCAUUUUUGUAACUAUUACUGUAGUCAUUACAUUUAAGAGAGUAAAAAAGGAUGUAUUUGGAAUUCACUUUUCUAUCUAGGUAUUUUAAAUUCACUACAAAAGAGAUAUUUUAUAAAUCCAUAUAUUUGACUGUAAUUAGAAAACUCAUAUAUUUAUAAGUAUUACCACAUAACUUUUACUACAUUUGAAAUCCAAAUCCAUUUUCUCAAAUAUAUAUAUUUCCAAAUGCAAUCUAAAAUUUCAUGGAACCUAGAUGGCUUUGUUGCUCAAGAUAUGUAACCAUGGAAGUUACAAUACUACUUUGAGAAGGAACGCAACCAUGGAACUAAAGAACAUGGUAGUCAUUGAUUUCAUACUGUACAAGAAAGGAAGGAGUCGAACCUGUGCACACCAUCAUUCCAGCUGUAGGAAGUCCAAAUUUGAAGUGAAGUAUGCAGAGCUUGAUGUGAAGAUGUUGACAAAAACUUUCAUGCAGAUAAUUCUCCUUAGAAAAAUGAGGCCCUGUAGCUCUAGGCUGAAGCAAAUCAUGCAAGAGGAACAUCAUUUGAAAGGGAAUCAUAGAUUAGAAUUUGCAACUAAGAGUCAAAAGAAGGGAGCUAGCAGGCUGUAAAACAAUUUGCAGCAAAUUAAGCAUGUGAUCCCAAGUGUUAUGAAAGAAAUAAAGAAUUUGGCAUUAGAAUGAAAGAAAAGAAAACCUUUUCUCUUUCUUUUUAGCUUUUCAUGAAGAACUUAAUCCAACAAUUGAUUAAAUUGUUACAAGAACAAAAGCAUAAUGCAUUGUCAACAAAAUGGUUGGAAAAAAAACACAUAAUUCAUUGAUAUUACUCUCACAAACAAUAAAUAAAUAAAUAAAUAAAAGGAAAAAAAUGAGAACGCAGUACACAAACCUCAAUCAAUUAAAAAAUUUUGAAAGAAAAAUCAAUAAAGAAAUAUGUAAAAUAAAUGGAGAAUGGACAAGGGUUAGUGAAAUUAAAUGAAAAUGAAUGGAGUACCUGAGUCAUAUUGCGUUCAUAAUGCCCACUGAUCCACGGGACUCCUUGAGACAUAUAGUCCUGCUAAAUAAUGAGUUGUCCGUCAUUCUCAAUGGCAGGGAUGUGGGAAAUCUUUGGUCAAUCUUUACCUUCCUUCUUUUCGCAAUUUCUUCCAGCAACGGACAGUUUAUAAGGCAUAAAGAAGAAAGGGAGAUAGGAAGCCUCUUUGCUGGCAUGGAUUGGAGCAUCGGACAGUCCAAGAUGACCAAUGUGCGAAGAGAAGUGAGGUGUUGAAAGCCCUUGUAGUCCAAAAACUUAAGAUUUGGAAGAUUCCAUAUCUCGAGACGAGUAAGAGUAGAGGGCAGCAGAUGUUCAUCUGGAAAAGACUCUAUCUCUUCCGCACCAUCGAUUAGGAAGGUUGUAAGUGAAGGGAGUGUUUCCAAACCCCAAUCCUUCCUGCCCGCAAUUAGCUUUUCACUUCUUCC
rnacentral:lncRNA from 1 species